AUGCAAAAUAAGAAACAGCAGAAAAAAGCAUACUUUGAAGAGCAAAAUAUUUGGGUGAAUUGCCUCUUAUAUUUGGAGAAGCUCAGGACUUGGAAUUCUCUGAAGCAUAAACUAGCUCAUCUUCUUCUCCCCAGAGAACCCGUGAAGUAUUUGCGGAGUAUGGAGAAAGGCAGUGGAAAGUCAUGAGGAGGGCAUUUGCAUCAAAGUAUUGCCUCAGCCAAGGAGACCCCAAACAUUCUAGUUGUUCUAAGGUGAUAAGACGUGGGUUAAAACAGGGAUCCAUGCUGAGCUAGUACAGACAUUGUGAAAUGGAAAAUAAUUCUACAACUGCAAAAUAUUGGCAGUGUUUCAAAUCAAGCAAAUUCUUCCUGCUUAAAUGAUCAGUGUCUACACUAUGGCAGUGUUAUUUGCUUUCUGGAUUUUGUUUGUGUUGUCUCAUAUUUCCAGGACUGUGGUAAACAUGAAGGUCAUAAUGAACUGUUCAAGGAACAUGAGGUUUGUGGAGUUAGAGAUGUCAUCCCCAUUGCCUACAAUUGAAUCUGAGAAAUAGAAAUCUCACCCUUUCCAGCUCAUUGUUUGGCAGUGUGCCCAAUGAAGUAAUUUUCCUUUGAUUAUGCAGCCAGUCAUGAACUUAUUAUAGAUUUGAUGAUUGCAUGCUGUAUUUAUUUAUUUAUUUUCAUUAUAUGGAUUUUAUUCUGACUAGAGGCUAUACAGUAUGUUAUGCUACCCAUCAGACUUGGCUCCACAGUCAAGCUUGAACAGUUUUGAUCUUGCCAACUUAUUCAGCCUACAGUCACUCAGCCCACGACAUAUUGUCAGCUCUGCUGAAAAGAACCAAAUAAGACUUUACCAUAAUGUUUCCUCCCUGCUUCCCCACAAAAGACAGUACAUUUCUUGAAACAGAUUGGGCAGAAGUUCUUGUGGUACUUGGCCAAGAGCUCUGUUAAUAUUUCAUGGGCUCAAAAGAAGCAGCCUGGUCAUGUUAACUGUUGAGUGCUGAAGGGGAGCCAGGAAGAGAACAAUUCUUUCUCAUGGAGUUACAGGAAUACUCUGCUCAUAAUAUAUCUAUAUUUUUAUGAGCUACAGCAAACUGUGAACACAGGAGGAAAUGUAAUUUCCCCUAUAAUGCUGUGCUGAAGAGAAACAACGUGUCCUAAGAUCACAGAAUAAGGGCUACUGAACUGCACAUGAGGAAUAAAAUCCUCCAUAGGCACCCAUUCUGCACAUGUCAACAUUAUCCAGUGCAAGCUGAGAACGUUCUUCAGAAGUGUUCUCAGGAUAAUCCUCAAAGCUUUGCAGAAAAGGUGCAUUUCAAGAUGAGAUUGCUCUCAGCAGUUGCCAUCAACUGAACAGAAACACCAAAAAAAGUAGAAGUGUUUUCCUAAACACCCGCAACCUUACAGAUCUCCUCACCUUAGGUGUUUCAGUGUACCUGAAGAGAACCAUAGGAAGCCAACUGGCACCAGGAUCCCACACAUUAGGCCCUGAUCAUAGAAUGGC
rnacentral:lncRNA from 1 species